AUUCCCACCCGUCUCAAUAGUCAUUGAUACAGUCCGUAUAUCGAUCUCAAUCGCGUCCGACCACAUCAUCCCCUUCUCUUUUUUAUCUUCCUCUUUCUCACCACACCCGUCCGUGUAUAUUCGUCAACUGUAGAUUAUUAUAUUUGUACAGUAUUUGAUUCGUCCGUUCACGUGUUCCGUCCCCUUCAAUUUAUACUCUCGCGUCAUAUUAACGUCAAAGAAACGUCAUCUUGUCGUCGUAACAGUAUACCGACGCCCGGCC